GCAUUUCCCAGGGAUUGGAAUUUAGUGGGGAGCACAUUGAUCAAAGGCUGUCUCAUCCCACAUGGGCACGGAAACAUACCACAUUUUACGGAGGAUGUAGCCCGAGAGAAGAGGGAGGUGGAGGAGACACAUAAAUGAAAAGCACCUUUUCCCUCCUCUGCAAGAUGCACAGGGAAUCUCUGACCUUGUGGUGUUUGGGCGUGAGCGGAUCCUAUGCGGAGGUAUCCAGGUAUUUCCAGAGAUCCUCUAGCAAGCGAGGUCUGCCCUUGCUGGAGCCAACUCGUCUAUAAUAUCUUCCUAACAGCAGGGAUGGCAUCAAGAUGGACAGAUUCAGCAGCUCAGUCUUAUCAUCAAGGAUUCAAAUUCUUUCAGCCUCUCUACUCUGUUGCCUGCAACAACUGCUUUACACAAAGACUGGUUUUUCUUAUGCUUGUGAGAUGAGUGCUGUAAGUUUUCUUGUUUCUGUCCUGUGUGUGUGCAUGUGUGUGUGUGGAGGGUGGAGAGAAUGACUUCCCAUGUAAAUUAAUGAAUUACAUUGCAAAUAUUUUGGAAAGAGGCAAUCAGAAAGAAAGAAAGAAUGCUGGAUGAUCCACGGUGUUCAGCACAGGGAAGAAUGUAAAUAAAUAAAAUCAUGUCACUGUGUUUUGAUGACAA